rnacentral:tRNA from 1 species
AGGCGUAGUUCAGUGGCAGAACAUCAGCUUCCCAAGCUGAAUAUGCGGGUUCGAUUCCCGUCGCCUG